rnacentral:tRNA from 2 species
GCCGAGGUGGCUUAGGCUGGUUAUAGCGCUCGGCUCAUAACCGAGAGGCCGGGGGUUCGAGUCCCCCCCUCGGCA